UCAAAGUCAUGCCAGUUACACUUUCUCAUGAUGUCAUAUUACAUUUAGGCUUUGGUCAUUUAUUUAUUUUUUAUUUUUUGGUUUUUUUGUUUUUGUUUUUGUUUUUGUUUUUUGAGACAGAGUCUCCCUCUGUCGCCCAGGCUGGAGUGCAAAGCAACACUCCAUCUUCAAAAAAAAA
rnacentral:antisense_RNA from 1 species